rnacentral:rRNA from 1 species
GACGGAGGGGGCUAGCGUUGUUCGGAAUUACUGGGCGUAAAGGGCGCGUAGGCGGUUUUGUGUGUCAGAGGUGGAAUCCCCGAGCUUAACUUGGGAAUUGCCUUUGAGACUGCAGGACUUGAGAUAUGGAGAGGCAAGCGGAAUUCCGAGUGUAGCAGUGAAAUGCGUAGAUAUUCGGAGGAACACCGGUGGCGAAGGCGGCUUGCUGGUCAUAUACUGACGCUGAGGCGCGAAAGCACGGGGAGCAAACAGG